AUGAACGGAGGCCCUGCUGGUUCACUCAGUUCAGUUAACAUGGAGGCCUGCAGACGGUGCGUUCACUGCGCCCUCGUCGCGUCUCUGCUCCUGGGUUCGUCGCUCCAGCAGGACACGGUGGCAGCGGACGUCAGCGGCCGCCAGCUGGAGCGCCUGGUCGAGCUGCUGACGUCUAAGGAGUGCGAGGACCUCCUGUUCGCCCUGUCUCACCCGGAGGAGGACGUCUUCCAGCAGCUCGAGCGCCUCUCGGCCCAGCAGAACCCGCUCGGCCUCGCGGCCCGGUCCAAGAGGGACGCCGCGUCCGCCGAGGAAGUCGGGAAGAACAUCAACCAGGACAUGGCCUUAAACAUAAAACACUACGUUGAAGAUUAUCACAAAUUCGUGAGCUCUUUGAACGUCCCAUCAGUCGAGUCAGACGCCAACGACCACCAGCAACGAGACCCGAGGGUCAGAAGGAGAAGAGUAAGGGACCUGACCUGGCGGGACCUGGACCUGAUUGUGGAGCGGGCCCCCGUGCCCCCGUACCAGAAGGGGCCCAUGGACGUGGUUCUGCCGCUGCUGCACGGCCUCCUGCUGGGCUUCGGAGGCACCUUCCUCGCGAGCGUCUCCAUCCUCCUCAUCCUCGCCCACGUGUCCCGCAGAGGGACGCGUGGACCCCCCGGGGUCACCGCCGGCUCCGGCUGCGAGCGGAUGGUUGGAGAUGCGGGCGACGGGGCGGCUCACGCGCCCUCGCACGCGCCUGUGAGCAGAACCAACGCGGUAGCGAGGCGGAAACCAGACCAUAACUAAUUGUGACAAACCUGAGCACAAUCCAGCCAUUUUCCACGCGCUUGUGUCCACGCCUCUGCUGUAAAGCGGGACCGACUGUUUCUGGUCCGUCGGUGCCUCGUCGCGCGACAGAUGCGCUGGAAUCGGGCCCUCGCGCCAAAGGUUGUUGUGGUGUUACAGUGAUAGCGAUGCCCCCCCCCCCCCCCCUCCUCCUCCUCCUCUAAGUGACGGCACCGUGCCCGCCUGGCAUCGAACAACAGCUAAUUAUCCAGGACUAAUAACCACGAGGCCGCUAGCAGACAAUGGAGCGCCCGGUCGCCACGGUAACAGACGACGCGUACGAAGUCUGGAGGACGCCGCUGAAACCGCCCGAUACCUGAUGAAGAGGGGCCGUGCAAAUAAAUAAAAAUGUCCACGUCA
rnacentral:lncRNA from 1 species